AUUGAACGCUGGCGGCAUGCCUUACACAUGCAAGUCGAACGGCAGCACGGGAGCAAUCCUGGUGGCGAGUGGCGAACGGGUGAGUAAUGUAUCGGAACGUGCCCAGUCGUGGGGGAUAACGUAGCGAAAGCUACGCUAAUACCGCAUACGAUCUAUGGAUGAAAGCGGGGGAUCGCAAGACCUCGCGCGAUUGGAGCGGCCGAUAUCAGAUUAGGUAGUUGGUGGGGUAAAGGCCCACCAAGCCUGCGAUCUGUAGCUGGUCUGAGAGGACGACCGGCCACACUCGGACUGAGACACGGCCCAGACUCCUACGGGAGGCAGCAGUGGGUAAUUUUGGAAAAUGGGCGAAAGCCUGAUCCAGCCAUGCCGCGUGCAGGAUGAAGGCCUUCGGGUUGUAAACUGCUUUUGUACGGAACGAAAAGGUUUGGCCUAAUAAGCUGAGCUCAUGACGGUACCGUAAGGAUAAGCACCGGCUAACUACGUGCCAGCCGCCGCGGUAA
rnacentral:rRNA from 1 species